GAUGAACGCUGGCGGCGUGCCUAAUACAUGCAGGUCGAGCGAACGGACGAGAAGCUUGCUUUUCUGAUGUUAGCGGCGGACGGGUGAGUAACACGUGGAUAACCUACCUAUAAGACUGGGAUAACUUCGGGAAACCGGAGCUAAUACCGGAUAAUAUUUUGAACCGCAUGGUUCUAUAGUGAAAGACGGUCUUGCUGUCACUUAUAGAUGGAUCGGCGCGGCAUUAGCUAGUUGGUAAGGUAACGGCUUACCAAGGCAACGAUGCGUAGCCGACCUGAGAGGGUGAUCGGCCACACUGGAACUGAGACACGGUCCAGACUCCUACGGGAGGCAGCAGUAGGGAAUCUUCCGCAAUGGGCGAAAGCCUGACGGAGCAACGCCGCGUGAGUGAUGAAGGUCUUCGGAUCGUAAAACUCUGUUAUUAGGGAAGAACAAAUGUGUAAGUAACUGUGCACAUCUUGACGGUACCUAAUCAGAAAGCCACGGCUAACUACGUG
rnacentral:rRNA from 1 species